rnacentral:rRNA from 1 species
UACAGAGGGGGCAAGCGUUGUUCGGAAUUACUGGGCGUAAAGGGCGCGUAGGCGGCCUUCUAAGUCGAACGUGAAAUCCCCGGGCUCAACCCGGGAACUGCGUCCGAUACUGGAAGGCUUGAAUCCGGGAGAGGGAUGCGGAAUUCCAGGUGUAGCGGUGAAAUGCGUAGAUAUCUGGAGGAACACCGGUGGCGAAGGCGGCAUCCUGGACCGGCAUUGACGCUGAGGCGCGAAGGCUAGGGGAGCGAACAGG